rnacentral:rRNA from 1 species
UGCAAGUCGAGCGGCAGCGGAGGUACCUUGCUACUUUGCCGGCGAGCGGCGGACGGGUGAGUAGUGUCUGGGAAACUGCCUGGUGGAGGGGGAUAACUACUGGAAACGGUAGCUAAUACCGCAUAACGUCGCAAGACCAAAGAGGGGGACCUUCGGGCCUCUUGCCAUCAGAUGUGCCCAGAUGGGAUUAGCUAGUAGGUGGGGUAAUGGCUCACCUAGGCGACUAUCCCUAUCUGGUCUGAGAGGAUGACCAGCCACACUGGAACUGACACACGGUCCACACUCCUACGGGAGGCAGCAGUGGGGAAUAUUGCACAGUGGGCGCAAGCCUGAUGCACCCAUGCCGCGUGUAUGAAGAAGGCCUUCGGGUUGUAAAGUACUUUCAGCGGGGAGGAAGGCGUUGAGGUUAAUAACCUCAGCGAUUGACGUUACCCGCAAAAGAAGCACCGGCUAACUCCGUGCCAGCAGCCGCGGUAAUACAGAGGGUGCAAGCGUUAAUCAGAAUUACUGGGCGUAAAGCGCACGCACGCGGUCUGUCAAGUCAGAUGUGAAAUCCCCGGGCUCAACCUGAGAACUGCAUUCGACACUGGCAGGCUAGAGUCUUGUAGAGGGGGGUAGAAUUCCAUGUGUAGCGGUGAAAUGCGUAGAGAUCUGGAAGAAUACCGGUGGCGAACGCGGCCCCCUGCACAAAGACUGACUCUCAUGUGCGAAAGCGUGGAGAGCAAACAAGAUUAUAUACUCUGAUACUCCACGCCGUACACUAUGUCGACUUGGAUGUUGUGCCCUUGAGGCGUGUCUUCCAGAUCUCACGCGUUAACUCCACCCGCCUGGAGAGUACGC